GAUGAACGCUGGCGGCGUGCCUAAUACAUGCAAGUCGAGCGAAUGGAUUAAGAGCUUGCUCUUAUGAAGUUAGCGGCGGACGGGUGAGUAACACGUGGGUAACCUGCCCAUAAGACUGGGAUAACUCCGGGAAACCGGGGCUAAUACCGGAUAACAUUUUGAACCGCAUGGUUCGAAAUUGAAAGGCGGCUUCGGCUGUCACUUAUGGAUGGACCCGCGUCGCAUUAGCUAGUUGGUGAGGUAACGGCUCACCAAGGCAACGAUGCGUAGCCGACCUGAGAGGGUGAUCGGCAACACGGGGACUGAGACACGGCCCAGACUCCUACGGGAGGCAGCAGUAGGGAAUCUUCCGCAAUGGACGAAAGUCUGACGGAGCAACGCCGCGUGAGUGAUGAAGGCUUUCGGGUCGUAAAACUCUGUUGUUAGGGAAGAACAAGUGCUAGUUGAAUAAGCUGGCACCUUGACGGUACCUAACCAGAAAGCCACGGCUAACUACGUGCCAGCAGCCGCCGCGG
rnacentral:rRNA from 1 species